UACGUAGGGGGGCUAGCGUUGUCCGGAAUCAUUGGGCGUAAAGCGCGUGUAGGCGGCCCGGUAAGUCCGCUGUGAAAGUCGGGGGCUCAACCCUCGGAUGCCGGUGGAUACUGUCGGGCUCGAGUACGGAAGAGGCGAGUGGAAUUCCUGGUGUAGCGGUGAAAUGCGCAGAUAUCAGGAGGAACACCAAUUGCGAAGGCAGCUCGCUGGGACGUUACUGACGCUGAGACGCGAAAGCGUGGGGAGCGAACAGG
rnacentral:rRNA from 1 species